AACGAACGCUGGCGGCGUGGAUUAGGCAUGCAAGUCGCACGUGAAAGAGGAGCUUGCUCCUCGAGUAAAGUGGCGAACGGGUGAGUAACGCGUGAGAAACCUGCCUUGAAGAGGGGAAUAACACUCCCAACGGGGUGCUAAUACCGCAUGAGCUCGAUGGAUCGCAUGGUUCGUCGAGGAAAGGUGGCCUCUGCUCGCAAGCUAUCGCUUCAAGAGGGUCUCGCGUCCGAUUAGCUAGUUGGCGGUGUAAUGGACCACCAAGGCGACGAU
rnacentral:rRNA from 1 species